rnacentral:rRNA from 1 species
UAACGCGAAGAACCUUACCUACCCUUGACAUGUACGGAAUCCUUGAGAGAUCAGGGAGUGCUCGAAAGAGAGCCGUAACACAGGUGCUGCAUGGCUGUCGUCAGCUCGUGUCGUGAGAUGUUGGGUUAAGUCCCGCAACGAGCGCAACCCUUGUCAUUAGUUGCUACGCAAGAGCACUCUAAUGAGACUGCCGGUGACAAACCGGAGGAAGGUGGGGAUGACGUCAAGUCCUCAUGGCCCUUAUGGGUAGGGCUUCACACGUCAUACAAUGGUACAUACAGAGGGCCGCCAACCCGCGAGGGGGAGCUAAUCCCAGAAAGUGUAUCGUAGUCCGGAUUGUAGUCUGCAACUCGACUACAUGAAGUUGGAAUCGCUAGUAAUCGCGGAUCAGCAUGUCGCGGUGAAUACGUUCCCGGGUCUUGUACACACCGA